GUGGGGAAUCUUGCGCAAUGGGCGAAAGCCUGACGCAGCCAUGCCGCGUGAAUGAUGAAGGUCUUAGGAUUGUAAAAUUCUUUCACCGGGGACGAUAAUGACGGUACCCGGAGAAGAAGCUCCGGCUAACUUCGUGCCAGCAGCCGCGGUAAUACGAAGGGGGCUAGCGUUGCUCGGAAUUACUGGGCGUAAAGGGCGCGUAGGCGGACAGCUUAGUCAGAGGUGAAAGCCCAGGGCUCAACCUUGGAAUUGCCUUUGAUACUGGCUGUCUUGAGUUUGGGAGAGGUGGGUGGAACUCCGGGUGUAGAGGUGAAAGUCGUAGAUAUUCGGAAGAACACCAGUGGCGAAGGCGACUCACUGGCCCAAUACUGACGCUGAGGCGCGAAAGCGUGGGGAGCAAACAGGAUUAGAAACCCUUGUAGUCC
rnacentral:rRNA from 1 species